rnacentral:rRNA from 1 species
GAAUGAAACGCUGACAGAAUGCUUAACACAUGCAAGUCAACUUGAAUUUGGGUUUUUUAACUUAGAUUUGGGUGGCGGACGGGUGAGUAACGCGUAAAGAACUUGCCUCACAGCUAGGGACAACAUUUAGAAAUGAAUGCUAAUACCUGAUAUUAUGAUUUUAAGGCAUCUUAGAAUUAUGAAAGCUAUGAGCACUGUGAGAGAGCUUUGCGUCCCAUUAGCUAGUUGGAGAGGUAACAGCUCACCAAGGCGAUGAUGGGUAGCCGGCCUGAGAGGGUGAACGGCCACAAGGGGACUGAGACACGGCCCUUACUCCUACGGGAGGCAGCAGUGGGGAAUAUUGGACAAUGGACCGAGAGUCUGAUCCAGCAAUUCUGUGUGCACGAUGAAGUUUUUCGGAAUGUAAAGUGCUUUCAGUUGGGAAGAAAAAAAUGACGGUACCAACAGAAGAAGUGACGGCUAAAUACGUGCCAGCAGCCGCGGUAAUACGUAUGUCACGAGCGUUAUCCGGAUUUAUUGGGCGUAAAGCGCGUCUAGGUGGUUAUGUAAGUCUGAUGUGAAAAUGCAGAGCUCAACUCUGUAUUGCGUUGGAAACUGUAUAACUAGAGUACUGGAGAGGUAAGCGGAACUACAAGUGUAGAGGUGAAAUUCGUAGAUAUUUGUAGGAAUGCCGAUGGAGAAGCCAGCUUACUGGACAGAUACUGACGCUAAAGCGCGAAAGCGUGGGUAGCAAACAGG